ensembl:lncRNA
UGAGGGUCAGGUGUCUGUGUAAGGGACAGUGAGGGUUAGUUUGUGCUCCUAGGGACAGAAAGGGUCUGGUGGUUGUGAUAGGGACAGGUAGAAGUCAGCCAGCUGUGCAGAAGAAAGAGAAAGGGAGUCAGGGUUGAGAAAAGCUGCCUGUAGGAGCUCGCAGAGAGAAGGAAGUACUAACAUUUUAAACCACUGUGGACUGCCAUUCUCUGAGGGAAAACAUUGAGAAGAAACAUACACGAAUGGAUCAACUUUGAAAGCAAAAAAUCUGAGACUCGCCCAAGAGUCAUGCUUUGUUGUAGUCCCAGGGUCCAUUCUGAGAAACUGGUGCAGGGAUCCUUGUACAUGGGAAUCCUGAAGCCUACAACGGCUUCCCAGGAGUCUGAACAGAGGACAAGAGUACCCAUGUGCCAGAGUUUUCCACAGGGCUAAGCAAGGACUGAAAAGAGUCAGAUCUACACAGAUGGCUUGGGCUCAUGCUACAGUUAUUCCAUGUCCCUGUAAAAUUGUUCUGGGAUGAACUGGAGUCGAAGGUAGGGUGAGCUUCGAGGAUGCAGAGAGGGCCAAGCCAUGGCACAGAGCCUCUGUGCAGCCUCCUUCAGUCCUGGCGUGGGAAUAUGAAAGAAAUUGCUUCUCUAGUGGCUGUGUCCAUGGAGGAGGGGGAGAAUGCCAGCUGGUCUCUGUGGUAUUUAAUUUCUUCUGAGGAGCUGAGCGAAGCGAACAUUUUUUGGGAUGAAGCAGCUGAAAAGGGGAAAGACAAAGUGCCAUACCUAGUGACCCCAGCCCCCUGUGCUGUUGCAGGCUGGAUCCAGAUAUCAAACCUGGUGGGAGAUAACUGUACUGCUUGUUAUGCCCCUAGAUGCUACACAGUGUUUUCCAGCUCAUCAAAAGUAUCUGGGAACAGCUGAAGGAGCAGCAGGCUUUGAGCAAGCCAGACCCAUCUCAGUGGUAUUUUGAGGCACUUGGCUUUCUGGACUGUGGGUAUGCUGUUAUUCCUCUAGUCCAAGAAAACAAACAUGGGGAUAUAUAUAUAUAUAUAUAUAUAUAUAUAUAUAUAUGAAAAAACAGGUGACUCAUAAGUGAGAAUAGCCUCAUUUUGUCAUUAGCGGAGGAUAAUUUGCCACAUAUUUGUAUCAAUAUUGCAAAUGUCUACACAAAGCUCCACUGACCUGUCACACUCUUUGGGCUGUGUGUGGGGCCACAGCCACCUGCAGCAGGGGAGCAGGAGAGGAGCCACACUCAGUUCUGUUUGACCCUGAUUUCUUCUCUUCUGUCUGAAGAGUGGAAGAGGCCUGCUGCUUGCCUUGAAUCUCCCAGGAAGUGAUUUGAUAUGUUGAGUAGAGCUUGGCCUUUUCUUUCUCACAUUAAAAUGGAAGAAGAUGAUGUUUGAUAGGUCUCUUACGUCAGCACACAUGCACUGAUCUGUAGAUAAUGAUGUGAAUAGCUUUUUGUAUUACUGCUGGACAUAGAACCUUCAGGAAAAAGAUUACCAGAAAUGAAAUCUCAGACAAAAAAUGAAUGGCCUUGGAUCAACUAGAUAGGUGAGUUCACCCUCAGGAUUAAUGAUAAUCCAGUAACUGUGUUGGGUUUGUUUAGCAAGGCUUUGGUAGCGGGGGGUGCUAUAGGAGUGGCUUCAGUGAUGGUAGAAUGGUAGAAGCCUCCUCUCUGUCCAGUGGAGCCAAUGCCAGCCAGCACCAAGAUGGACCCACCACCAGUCAAAGCUGAGCUCAUCAAUGAUGGUGGUAAAACCUCUGGAAUAACAUCUUUAAGAGAGGGAGAACUGCUGUGCAACAGCAGCCAGGAAGGAGGAGUGAGAAUAUGUGAGAGAAACAACUGUGAAAGAGACACCAGGAUGAGUAAAGGAGAUAGGGGAGGAGGUGCUGUAGGUGUUGGAAUAGAGAUUCCCCUGCAGCCCCUGGACAUCCCUGGUGGACCAGAUAUUCACCUGCAGCCCGUGGAGGACCCCGCAGUGGAGCAGGUGGAUGCUUAAAGGAGGCUGUGACCUCGUGGAGAGCCCAUGCUGGAGCAGGGGAGCAGGCUCCUGCCAGGACCUGAAGCUUCAUGCAGAGAGGAGCCCAAGGUGAAGUAGGUUUACUGGCAGGAAUUGGGAUGCCAUGGGAACUCACACUGGAGCAGCUUGCUCCUGAAGGACUGCAGCCCGUAGGUGGAGACCCACGCUGGAGCAGUUAAUGAAGAACUUCAGCCUGUGGGAGGGACUCCACAUGCAGAGGAUGAGAGUGUGAAGAGUCCUCCCCGCGAGGAGGAAGGAGCAGCAGAGACAAUGUGUGAUGAACCAGCUGCAAACCCCAUUCCUGUGCCCCUGCCCCACGGUGAGGAGGAAGGAGAAAAAAAUUGUGAAUGAACUUAAGGUGGUUUAACGUUCUGUUUAUUAUCCACUUCCCUACUCUGAUUUGUUUGGUAAUAAAUUAAAUUCAUUUUCGCCAAGAUGAGGCUGUUUGCCUGUGACAGUAAUUAGCGAGUGACUUCUCCUGAUCCUUAACCCUCAAGCCUUCUGGUGUAUUUUUCUCCCCCUGUCCAGCUGUGGAGGGGUGUGACACAGCAGCUUUGGUGGGUGUCCAACCAAGGUCAACUCACCACACUGCUAAAUGAAGAAAAAUCUUUCUUACCCUGAAAACAUCUCUGUCCUACUGAAGGAAAAGUGAUUUGUGAUGGAAUAAAAUUUCCUUAAGUGACUUAGGAGCCUCAGAUCCAUUUGUUAAAUCUCCUGACCUAUUUAUGUACAAAAAUCUCAUCAUAAGGCUAUAUUUUUUCUUGGCUUUUUGAGGCAGAGAUUUUGGUGGGGCCUUUUUUAAAAACACAUCUAAAGCCAACUAUCUGCACAUACCUGGAACUCUUCAGCUCUACUGCCAGUGGUGUGCACACCAUCUAUUAAUGACAAAAUGAAUGAGUUAAUGUGAAAAAGCUGGAUGGGGAAGGAUUGUAAACUCCUAAUCCAAGCCUAGAAACCUGCCAGGAUGAUUACAGAAACAGAAGGGAUGGUGCAGUUCCCUGCUCACUCCCUGGAGCUGCUGCUGGGGGCAAAACCAGGACAUUGCCUUUUCAUUAGGACUCUUCGCUACUUCCUCCCUUCUCAUAAGAGAAAAAGAAACACCCACCAGCACAAAAUAAAGUUCAUGAAAAAUGAAAAAUCAGAAAAUGUGAAGAAGCAGGAGCUAAGCAUCUCUUUGGAGGCAUAGAGCAAGUCAAGCUUUACACUGGCAUUUCUGCCCCUGAAGAAAAUUCCCAUUAUUUCAGGGAGAAGCAGCUGGAAGCUUGGUCUGGCUCAUAGCACUGAAGAAACAAGCAGACAAAUGGUGCUGAAGACGGGAAUCCCCUGGUGCCCUGGCUAGCCCCGCCCUCACCUUCCUCCUGUAUCUUGUUUUGAGGGAAGCAGGUGGCACACGUUCAAGGACCUUAAAGAUCCACUUCAUUUCAGGUGCCAACUGUGAGAUCAACUGCUCCCUGCUCAACCAUUUGCAAAGUCCCAAGUGGAAGAGGAAUCUUUGUUGCAGAAGGGUGUUUGCUACUGAUUCUUCUAACCAGUGCUCUGAUCUACAGCAGCUAUGGCUUUGCCAGUGUCCUGUUAAUUUAGUUACCACAGUAGGAAAAUAUCUCAAAAGAUGGCUCACUCAAAUUGCAAUAGCUGCAGGCAAGAGGGCUGCCAGCAGGGAGCUGCCUUACAUCUGGGCUUGAAAGAAUUCAAAGGUAAAGGCAGAUUCAGUUGUGACAAACAGGGAGCAACAAGCACCUCACUCUGCCUCCUGUUUCCUGAAACAUAAUAUUUUCACAUAGAAAAAAGAAAAAAAAAGGUGCAUUUCUAGUGGAGCAGGUGUGUCUGGGCCUGUUAGGGGUCAGUGGUGUGCCAGAGCAACUGGCAGGGUGGUACACCAAAACUCAGAGAGGUAGGAUGAUGCAAGGAGGAGGAAGUGGAACAGUAUUGCUGCUCUUUUCUGGCAGCAGAAGAAAGAUUAUUGAAUCAGCCAGAGCUGUGUAAGACAUGGAAAAAUCUGACACCAGGGCUACCAGGAUCACAAAACCUCGUCCUGUAAGGAGCAGCAUUCAACGUCCUGUGCUGUGCUUGUUCCCUGGCUCAGAAGAGAGGGAUAGCCAGGUACUGUCACAGUUGUUAGGGACACACUGUCACAUCUGGCUCUGACACAUCUGGUUUCUGAAGGAUGCAGGCUGAUCUUCAGCAGACCUUAUCAAUGGACAUCUGUCCUCAAUGGAGGCCAGAGGGAUGUGGGAAUGUGCAGGCAUUCCUACCAGCCUAAUGGGCCAGUAGGAGACCCCAUACACCUGGGCAGCCCUUGUUAUGUAAAACUGUGCCUUCUCUGCCUUAUUGUUGAUCUAUUCCAAAAAGAGCAUAUUUUACAAAAAGCACUCCCUGGUGUAAAGGUGUUGUGUGUGGAGGAUUUGUGUUUGUGGGGAGGGUAGAGCAGAGACAGCGCUGAGAAAGAAAGGCUGGGCAGGAAAAUUUCAGGUACUUAAAUGUGCUUAAUACCUUGCAUAGACUAAGAAAUGAGAUUUUCAUGUAUUUUCUAUGAGAGCUGUGCUGCCAGCAUUUCCAAUGGUCACAGAGUGGUGAGAACCACUUUGGACAUAGUAAGAAAGAGAACUG